UACGUAGGGUGCAAGCGUUGUCCGGAAUUAUUGGGCGUAAAGAGCUCGUAGGCGGUCUGUCGCGUCUGCCGUGAAAACCCGAGGCUCAACCUCGGGCCUGCAGUGGGUACGGGCAGACUAGAGUGCGGUAGGGGAGAUUGGAAUUCCUGGUGUAGCGGUGGAAUGCGCAGAUAUCAGGAGGAACACCAAUGGCGAAGGCAGAUCUCUGGGCCGUAACUGACGCUGAGGAGCGAAAGCAUGGGGAGCGAACAGG
rnacentral:rRNA from 1 species